rnacentral:rRNA from 1 species
GCAUCCAGUUCGCCAUCGGGCGAGCCGGGCACUCUGGAGGGACUGCCGGCGGACAAGCCGGAGGAAGGUGGGGAUGGACGUCAAGUCAUCAUGGCCCUUAUGUCCAGGGCGACACACGUGCUACAAUGGCCGGCACAGCGGGAAGCGGAGGGGCGACCCUGAGCGGAUCCCUUGAAAGCCGGUCCCAGUUCGGAUUGCAGUCUGCAACUCGACUGCAUGAAGUUGGAAUCGCUAGUAAUCGCGGAUCAGCCAAGCCGCGGUGAAUACGUUCCCGGGCCUU